rnacentral:rRNA from 1 species
GACGUAGGGUGCCAGCGUUGUUCGGAAUUACUGGGUGUAGAGGGUUCGUAGGCGGUGUAGUAAGUCGGGGGUGAAAUCUCUGGGCUUAACCCAGAGGCUGCUUCCGAAACUGCUGUGCUUGAGUGUGGGAGAGGCGCGUGGAAUUGCAGGUGUAGCGGUGAAAUGCGUGGAUAUCUGCAGGAACACCCGUGGCGAAAGCGGCGCGCUGGACCACUACUGACGCUGAGGCGCGAAAGCUAGGUGAGCAAACAGG